CUGUGGGUGCUAUGUGUUUAAAGGAACAUGCUGUCUUAUUGGGAUUUCAGCUUAUUCACCGUUACCCCCAGAGUUAGACAAGUCGAUACAUACCAUUCUCAUCUCCAUGUGUGCUGUAACACUGUCUACUGCUCCCAAUGAGUGACAAAAUAACACCAACAUGUUCCUAUUUACAUGUUGUGAUUUGCAUGGUCGCAGGGUGUACAAAUAACAA